UUUUUAUUUCUCCCAACAACAAUUUUGGACCCAAAUUAGCAGUUAGUGACCAUGGCCUUCUAUUAAAUUGGAACACCAAACAGAUCCAAUUUGUUUGGGGUAGGAGAGAGGAGGAGGAAAAUACGAUUAGGGUGCUUAUAUCUUAUCUACACGCGUGUCCUCCCUCGACUUGUUGAUAGAGAUGAAAUCGAUAUCCAGUUUUGAUGUUGUUUGUGAAUUAAGUUUUUGCGCAUAUAGUGUUGUUGAAUUCAAAAUAUUGCUUCUUAUCCCACUCAUUCCGACAUUGAAUCUCAGUUCUCAAUAUUUAUUUGGCUUUUGAACAACCAGAUAGAUUUUGCUUUUCUUCUGUUUGAUCGUAUUUUUGGUGUAUUUGGUUUUUUCAACAUUUUUCCAGGUGCCAAAGACUGGGAAAGGCGAAAAGAAAGCUCAUCCCAUUAUUAGCAAUAUGUUUCGCUGAUGAGAUUCUGUGAUCCCAGAAACCCUAAGUGAGAGAUUGGGGAAAGAGGGAGAGAUGGGUUCCCUUUCAUACACACACACAGAUUUGCAGUAUCAAAUUUGAUGCUACAAAAUUUUAGCAAGGAAAAUAACUAAAUAAGUCAGGCUGAUGGCACUUCUCAGCAACUCCGAGGAGGAAACUCUUGUCGGUUGUUCUGUUUGGUCACAAAUGCAUCUUAGAUUGCUAGUAUGAACUAAAGGCAUCUUAGAUUGCACAACACACAUGCAAAUAUCUUGUUCAUUUGGACUCGGGCGUCUAUGAAGUUUUUUGUUGAAUCUUCUUCUCUGUUGGAUUGUAUGACUGCAGAGGGAAAUUUUGUAGAGCUUACUCAGAAACUCACUUCUUGGUACCUGAAAUCUGGAUUGCCUUUUCUGGGAAGAAGCUGAGGAUUCCAUGGACAGAAAUUCUUUCCUCUAGGUUUUUUCCUGUGUCACAACCCCUUGUAUUGCGUUUUUUUUAUCAGCUUUUGUAGAGUUUUAUAUCCUAUUAGUAACUUCUUUGGAAUCAGAGAUUUAUCAACGAAAGAAAAAGAAGUCAGAAGCCUGUAGUCCACUGGGUUGUUGGCAGUUAACCAAUGGAUUGCUUCUCUUCUUCCAAGUGCCAUCUUUUGCUAGCCUGUCCUAUAAGCCGCACUUCGAGGUUAAUUGUCUUUUGGACCUACCAUUAAUUAAGCUUCCUGGAUUUCUGAUCUCACCUUUGAAAAAAUUACAGUAAGUGCAUUAACUCUCUCAAAUUUCAGUGCUCUCUUAACUCUUAAUGAUGUUAGAAGAAGGUUGUCCUCAUUGGAUUAUAAUGAAUUAGACAAGGGCCAUUUCUUUCA